AACGAACGCUGGCGGCAGGCUUAACACAUGCAAGUCGAGCGCCCCGCAAGGGGAGCGGCAGACGGGUGAGUAACGCGUGGGAAUCUACCGAGCCCUGCGGAAUAGCUCCGGGAAACUGGAAUUAAUACCGCAUACGCCCUACGGGGGACAGAUUUAUCGGGGUUUGAUGAGCACGCGUUGGAUUAGCUAGUUGGUGGGGUAAAGGCCUACCAAGGCGACGAUCCAUAGCUGGUCUGAGAGGAUGAUCAGCCACAUUGGGACUGAGACACGGCCCAAACUCCUAGUGGAGGCAGCAGUGGGGAAUAUUGGACAAUGGGCGCAAGCCUGUUCCAGCCAUGCCGCGUGAGUGAUGAAGGCCUUAGGGUUGUAAAGCUCUUUCACCGACGAAGAUAAUGACGGUAGUCGGAGAAGAAGCCCCGGCUAACUUCGUGCCAGCCGCCGCAGUAAUAC
rnacentral:rRNA from 1 species